rnacentral:rRNA from 1 species
GACGAACGCUGGCGGCGUGCCUAAUACAUGCAAGUAGAACGCUGAAGGAGGAGCUUGCUCUUCUGGAUGAGUUGCGAACGGGUGAGUAACGCGUAGGUAACCUGCCUGGUAGCGGGGGAUAACUAUUGGAAACGAUAGCUAAUACCGCAUAACAGUAGAUGUUGCAUGACAUUUACUUAAAAGGUGCAAUUGCAUCACUACCAGAUGGACCCGCGUUGUAUUAGCUAGUAGGUGGGGUAACGGCGCACCAAGGCGACGAUACAUACCCGACCUGAGAGGGUGAGCGGCCACACUGGGAGUGAGACACGGCCCAGACGGCUACAGGAGGCAGCAGUAGUGAUUCGUCGGCAAUGGACGGAAGUCUGACCGAGCAACGCCGCGGGAGUGAAGAAGGUUGUCGGAUCGGAAAGCUCGGUUGUAAGAGAAGAACGAGUGUGAGAGUGGAAAGUUCACACUGUGACGGUAACGGACCAGAAAGGGACGGCUAACUACGUG